GGAGAGGUGCCCGGAGCGGCUUAUCGGGGACCACUGAGCUUGUCUCAAGGUCGGACCUCCAGGGGUCCACGCAGGUUCAAAUCCUGCCCUCUCCG
rnacentral:tRNA from 1 species